UGAAGCUAAAAACUGGGACUCAUGAUCUGACAUCUGGUUAAGCCCCUUCCGGGUGUACGAGGCUGUCUUGCAAAUAUAACUGAGAUGAUGAAAUACUAGGCUUUCUGACAUAUUUCAAUUGUUUAUGAAUAGAACCAGGUGCAAUUUUGAUGGAGAACCUCUGUAUCAAAAACUCUAAACACACAAGUGCAGGUGUGACAUACUUAUAAGCUGACAACUUUGAAGAGGGUGCUGGGGAAUGGAGAUGAAGUAGAUACAACCUCUGCCCUCAAGGCAUCCACAGCCAGUGGGUGAGACAGACAUAGAGCAACAACAGCAACACAACCUAGACUGGCUUUCUUGGCAAGGUAACUCAGGUUCAUCCCAGACAUAGAAUGCUCUGCACAUGGCUACUUCCUUGCCCUAUGCUGCUGACAGGAAGAUUCACAAGGCUGGUGAGGAGCAGUGACCUGCCUGCUAUCUCUUUGUGAUCACCAGCAACACACAGGUCCUCACUCUUCAAAGCCAAGGAAAGAAGAGUCAGGCACAGAACAGGACUGGGACAGCAAUGGAAGAAAUCUGCCGAAGAAGGGCUGCAGUACAUCUAAUGGAGAUGAGAAGAGAAAUCAGGCAAUUUGGGAAAAACCCUCUCUGCUGUCUUAAGCCUGGCUGUGCUACCAAAGGUCACAGAGGAACUCAGGGGGCUGAGAACCACUGAUGAGCC